UGACCAUCCAGAGGAGCAGCUCCGGCAGCGGAGAAGCCCCGCACGCCCGCAGCCCGGGGUAGGACCGUGCGGAGAAUACGCUGGAGCCCAGUGCGUCGGCAGCAGGCAGGACGGAAAACCAAGCCAGAGGCGGGAGGGGCUGGCCUUCUGGAGAAGAGAAGGCCGUUUCCUGUCUACUUGGGAGACCCACAAAUAUUUUAUGAUGACUCUUGGAGCACCCCCUCCCCGCAAAACCAUUUUCUUUCCUCAUGAAUUUGUGGGAGCCACCCGGACUAAGGCAGAAGUAACAGAAGAACCGGAAUCGAUGUAAACAACCUAAGAGGAAUACCUCGGAAAGAAAAAAAAUAUGAUUUUUCCUGAUACACAUUUUUUAUUUUGAAAAAUCAUGAAGAUCUCCAUUAGGAAAUCAUUCUUCCCUGGCAUUGUGUUGCGUGC
rnacentral:lncRNA from 12 species